ACUGUACUUAGUGGACUUGAGUUACUGUACUUAAAGUUAAGUCAGCCAACUUAAGCUUAAGUUCAUGUUUAAGUUCGCUUAUGCACAUCAGCCCUGGACCCUUAGCGGACUAAAACUCGCAUGGUCGUUGUACGAUUCCGUGUGUGGCUCGUUAUUCAUGGCAUUUCUAGCAUACUCAAAAUGUUCUCCAACUCUGGCUCUCAUUCUUCUUCUUUUUGUUGAGUACAAAUAGCACAUGCUAUCAGCGGCGGCGCUUGGGGGUGGCAAAUGGGGCGGCUGCCCAAGGUCUCGCUCUCAAAGGUCCCAAGGUCAUUUUUAUGAGUUUGUCAACUUAAAAUAUAUUCUGUGUUAAAUGGAAAAAUGCUGAGAGGGGCUCUUUAAAAUCAGACUUCUUUAAGGUCAAAAACCGAAGGCCCCGUCAAUGAAUUUUCCACACGUAAGGCAUGAAAAGUGGAUUUUAUAAAUAAGCAUUAAUGUAAAACUUUUGGUUUAAAAACUCUGAAACUGACAUUUAUAUGCAGAAGGCUGCUAUAUGUCCAUAUACAGCCUAUAAGUCGUCAUCUCUUUAUUGCAUGUCAUCAGUGCUUCCGGCAUCAUAUCAAUAGGGAUAUUGAUACACGUACUCCAUUACCCUGAUUCCUUACACCGCCUCUGCAUGCUAUCUAAAUUAUAUUUAAUAUAUAUAAAAUGCAAAUGAUGUAUGAAGAUUAUACUCUUUAUACAGCUCUGAUUAAAAAUGCAAAAGUUAACAUACGAAUUCCAUCAUCUAUCCCUGAUAUUUAUGUGUCUUAUUCCCGUGAAAUAAAUAUGCACAAGACGGCAAAUCGUUUAGUGACCUUUCAUACCUGGAUAAAAAUAGAGCUUAGAGUUAGAAAAUUAGCUAUUUUCUUCCAUUAUUUGUUUUGCUUUUUUACUUAAACUUUUAAAAUUAAUAAAGUUUGUUUAAUCACUUUUAUCUUUAAACGCCAGCACCCAGCUGUCUAGAAUUAUUGUAAAAUAAAUUAUUAACCAUCAUACAGUUAUUACCAUUUGUGGUCGAAAAAAGAGACUAUUAAAGUUAAUUUGUCUGAAUUGAUACUUCCAUGCAGUCACAAUCAUGUAAAUGGGAUGUCUAUAUGAGGUUUUUUUGGUUCACCAUUGGGAACAGAAUCCUAAUGCUGCACUUUCUCAGAUAUUCUUUUAAUUACCUGUGGAAGGUGGAGAUCGAGUGUCAUGGAUCAGUCCGUGCCUCUGUCCAGUAUUUUUCAGACUUUUAACCCUUUUGUGACUCACGGACUAACAGUGGUAUUUUGAAUGUACAUGCUUGGUUGAAUGGAUAAAAACAUAGGAAAGGGUUAACUGUGUUAAAUGUUUAGUGAACACUAGCUGUUCACAGUUGGUUUAGGUGGGAACAAGUUGUGGAAAAUUACUCAGGCCUGGGAUACCAAGAGAAGAAGGCGUGCCUUAGUCACGAGUUGUAAAUCUUCCUUGUUGAGAUUUUGUGUUUAGUAGCAGGGUAGUGCCGAUCGACGCUGGAUGCGGCGCGGUACUCACCCGUUUUUGGAUUGACCUCGCCUAGACGAGGUUUUAAUCGUAUGGGCGGAUUUAAUUGGAGCUAUUCUGGGUAAAGAAGGAUCGCCUGCCAGGACCAUUCCGUGAUCGACGUGAUUUUGGUUCAGCACCCAGCAGCACGUGGGUUACGAGCCCAAUGACGUCACCGCGGAUCGAGUACGCUCCCUUUAACUUCGGAAACCGCGCCACGACACGGCCAUGUUUACGGCCCUCGUGUAUGUGUGGGUGCUUGUGCCAUUGGAUUAUAGUUGGCUGGACAUGUGGAGAGCGACAACCCUGAGGGACGAUGAACUGUGAGUAACGUAUUCAACGAUUGCUUGUGCGGUCAUAAGUUAGAAAAUAGAACUGGAACCUCGUUGCUCGGCGAACUUCCCCUGAUGUAAGCAUUGCAUCUAUAGUUAGAAGUUUGUCGCCAUUAGAACGAGGCGUUGAGCCGAGUUGUUAUUAAUGCGUACUUGUCAUGUAGUGUGAAAAGUCCUGAGCCACUCGACAACGCAAUAGCCAAGAUUUGGGCAGCCUCAGGCAAUCGUGUUGAUGUGUUGAUAGAACACCCAUUUGUCUGGCUGAGCGAGUUGUUAAGCCACCCCUGCCGUGACCAUUUGUGUAGUAAGAGUACAAAAAAAUUAUUUAAAAAAUAAAUAAAAGAGAUAGAAGAAUAAUUCAAACUGAUAAUGAUAGAUAAAAAUGUGUAGAAAAGGAACAAUCUACCUGAAACGUGCUUGGGAACUCACUUUUAUUGUAAUACAUAUAGAAUCGGGUAUAUGAAGUGAAGUUUUUAAAAAGUUUUUCAGGCGCAUGUUUACACAGGUUAUGUCAUCUAAAAAAGAAGUUAGACUUUCAGGAAUCAGAGUUUGAUGUUUGAAAACAAAGACGAACUGCACACACGUUCUUGUCCAUAGAAAUUUCCAAAUGAUACAAUUGUAAGAUGCCAGAAUUCUAAAAAUCCAAGUAGCAAGUCGCACACUUCUGGAACUGUGUAUCGUCUCGCCAUUUUUCCAGUGGAAAAGAACAGCACUCGGGAAAGUUGACGAUAUUUCUGUUCAAACUGUGUUCAGAACUGCCUAAGCUAUCAUAAUUAAUUAUUUUACUAAAAAGAAGCACUGUAGACGUCUAAAGAAAAACAACGCAUGGGAUAAAUCUAUCCCAUAGUGCCAGGUGUUUGUUCAAGAGGUGGGACAAAUUGACCUACUCGUUCAAGAAGAGUUAACAAAGGUUUGAACAGGAAAGAACAGGGGGUAGGUCAUAUUUCUUUGUAUCAGCUUUUCUAUUAUGUGUGGGUCAUUUUUGCAUGUUUACUAAUGUGAUCAAUCUAAUUACGAUCGUAUGUUUAUGCAUCUGUAUGUCUACAUAGGCUAUUUCUAAGGAUCAUUCUUCAGUGGAUGUCACACAACAUCUGAGAAGACACACAUAUGUGAUAAUGAAGAAAAGGAAAAAAUAAGAGAAGCCAUGGCAUCCUUGGACAUGACACGGAAAGGACAGCAGAGGCUACUUCUCAGAAUCUCUCUUCAAAUGAUGUCCCACAAGCGAUGAGAAGACCCAGACAUUUGACAAUAAAUGUGUGCAUCAUUUGUUAGCAGGAUGUGCCAUCAGAGGAAGAAAAAAAUGAAAUGUGAAUCUUUACUAAUGACUAACCCUUCUAACCUUUAAACUAAUACCAUCUGUAUGUCUGUUUAAGUGGUUUUAUGCUUGUCAUUUCAUGCAAAUAUGGCUGUUCACCUUUGAUUUAAUUUUGCUUUUUUAUUUUUGCGAUAUUUCUCACAUAUUUUUGUAUUUGGAAAUCACAGACGUCAUGGCAUAGCUGGACAUGACAACCAUAGAACUACAGCUAUGGACAAUGGGGUCGAUGCAUCAGCGAGAGGGAACGAGAGCUUUUUCUCAGAAUGUGUCUUCAAUUGAUGUUCCACGAGGGCUAUGAAGACUGAGACAUAGGACAAAAGAUGUGAGCAUCAUUUGUUAGAAAGAUGUACCAUCAAAAAAUGGCAGUGGCCAUGGCAUCCUUGGACAUCACAAGGAAAGGACAGCAUCUCUUGACAGUGCGUUGUCUGAGGGGGAAUGAAAGACAGAAAUGGCAGUGGCCAUGGCAUCCUUGGACAUCACAAGGAAAGGACAGCAUCUCUUGGCAGUGCGUUGUCGGAGCGGGAAUGAAGGAGAGAAAUGGCAGUGGCCCUGGCAUCCUUGGACAUCACAAGGAAAGGACAGCAUCUCUUGACAGUGCGUUGUCUGAGCGGGAAUGAAAGAGAGAAAUGGCAGUGGCCAUUGCAUCCUUGGACAUCACAAGGAAAGGGAAGCAACUCUUGGUAGUGCGUUGUCGGAGGGGGAAUGAAAGAGAGAAAUGGCAGUGGCCCUGGCAUCCUUGGACAUCACAAGGAAAGGAUAGCAUCUCUUGACAGUGUGUUGUCUGAGCGGGAAUGAAAGAGAGAAAUGGCAGUGGCCCUGGCAUCCUUGGACAUCACAAGGAAAGGAUAGCAUCUCUUGACAGUGCGUUGUCUGAGCGGGAAUGAAAGAGAGAAAUGGCAGUGGCCAUUGCAUCCUUGGAAAUCACAAGGAAAGGGAAGCAACUCUUGGUAGUGCGUUGUCGGAGGGGGAAUGAAGGAGAGAAAUGGCAGUGGCCCUGGCAUCCUUGGACAUCACAAGGAAAGGAUAGCAUGUCUUGGCAGUGCGUUGUCGGAGGGGGAAUGAAGGAGAGAAAUGGCAGUGGCCAUUGCAUCCUUGGACAUCACAAGGAAAGGGCAGCAACUCUUGGCAGUGCGUUGUCUGAGCGGGAAUGAAAGAGAGAAAUGGCAGUGGCCCUGGCAUCCUUGGACAUCACAAGGAAAGGAUAGCAUCUCUUGGCAGUGCGUUGUCGGAGCGGGAAUGAAGGAGAGAAAUGGCAGUGGCCCUGGCAUCCUUGGACAUCACAAGGAAAGGGAAGCAACUCUUGGUAGUGCGUUGUCGGAGCGGGAAUGAAAGAGAGAAAUGGCAGUGGCCAUGGCAUCCUUGGACAUGACAAGGAAAGGACAGCAGAGGCUACUUCUCAGAAUCUCUCUUCAAAUGAUGUCCCACAAGCGAUGAGAAGACCCAGACAUUUGACAAUAAACGUGUGCAUCAUUUGUUAGCAGGAUGUGCCAUCAGAGGAAGAAAAAAAUGAAAUACGUCAUGGCAUAGCUGGACAUGACAACCAUAGAACUACAGCUAUGGACAAUGGGGUCGAUGCAUCAGCGGGAAGGAACGAUAGCUUUUUCUCAGAAUGUGUCUUCAAUUGAUGUUCCACGAGGGCUAUGAAGACUGAGACAUAGGACAAAAGAUCCAUGGCAUGGAUGGAAAGAGAGGUAGGAUUUGUUUCUUUGGAUUAGCUAUUUCUCAGAAUCUCUUCAACGAGGGCUACGAAGACCCAUAUGUGUAACAGUGGACAUUAUUGGAUGUUUACCAUUAAAGGAAUGAAAACUCGAAA
rnacentral:lncRNA from 1 species